rnacentral:rRNA from 4 species
CCUGCGGAGGAUCAUUG